AGUGGGUAGUCCGCACGAGCGCACCCUCACUUUUAGUUGCCAUCAUUAAGUUGGGCACUCUGAAAGAACUGCCAGUGAUAAGCUGGAGGAAGGUGGGGAUGACGUCAAGUCCUCAUGGCCCUUACGUGUUGGGCUACACACGUGCUACAAUGGUAUCUACAACAGGAAGCAAAACGGCAACGUUAAGCAAAUCCUUAAAAGAUACCUCAGUUCGGAUUGCACUCUGCAACUCGAGUGCAUGAAGCUGGAAUUACUAGUAAUCGUGGAUCAGCGUGCCACGGUGAAUGCGUUCCCGGGUCUUGUACACACCGCCCGUCAAGCCAUGGAAGCUGGGAGUGCCUGAAGUCGGUAACCGUAAGGAGCUGCCUAGGGUAAAACUGGUAACUGGGGCUAAGUCGUAACAAGGUAGCCGUACCGGAAGGUGCGGCUGGAACACCUCCUUUUU
rnacentral:rRNA from 1 species